CCCAUGCCCUUUCUAAACAAACUGGGAAAACAUUUACUUCAGAGGUUCUUUCAAGAAAGGCUCAGCAACUCUAUUUCUCAUCUUUCUGAUUUGCAGGAUAAUUUUUGGUUUUGAAUUUUGAUUUUUCAUAGAUGUGUAUUAUUUUGAAAGUAUCAAAUAAAAAUAAUUUAUUUUACUAUUACUGAUUAUUACAGUAGUGUCACCUACCAGAUGGGACACUAGUUGAAGACUAGGGAGCUGUUGUCCUCUUGUGUCCUGCAGGAGCUGUCCUACUAGAGCUACUGGGUUCCAGUAGAUUCACCACAGCAGCCUCAGCAGGGCAGGCCAGGGGUCUGGACAAUGGGGGCUGUUUAGGUUUUCUUGCCAGACAACUUUUAAAAAAGUAAACAUCCAUGUAGAAUGAUUAAAUGGAAAGUUGCUUCUUAUGAUGGUCUGAGUUGGAUUUUCUUCUCCUUUUGUUUUUUCAAAUCUGAGCAGAGUGGGCAUCUGAAGGGACCACCGCUACAGCAGCAGCAGCAGAAGGGGUGGGAAAAUAGAACCUGAUGAACUAAACUAUUCAAGAAAGAAACUGGUCCUGAGAAUGAAAAGCCUCAGAAAAUAGAAUUCCAAGAUCAACAAAUAGCCUUGCAAGGGGCCAGGAAAAGAAUCUCUUUAAAAAGGAUUUCUAAAAGAUGCCUACAAAACAGAAGGUGAACAUGGCAAAGACCAACACUUAGAUGUAGAAAUGCUGCCCCCUCGAGUCAUCCUCUGCAUCAGGAAAAUAAGUUCUAGGAAAGCACUUGCCAUCCUUGCUGAGGGAAGCCCUGGAAGCACAGGCACAUGAAGGGUAAGUGUGGGGUCCUAGGCCUGAGCUCUGCACCUAUUAGAACUAACCACACACAAGAGCUUGUUUUCAUCUCAGGGAGAGAUUUCUAAGUCAUCUGGGGCCUGAAGACUUAUUUAAGGAAGGUCAGUGGACAUAUUCCUGUGAUCCACACCACAGUGGAGCAGCUGCUGUUGACACCCUGUGAUGUUGGAUGGCCCCAAAUGCAGAACAGAGUGAGUCACUUGUAGAUUUAAUCUCCCUUAUUUUGCCCCCGAGAUGGUAGAACCAUGUACAUGUUCAGAAUAUAACAGCCAUGGAACAAUUGGGGUUUUUUUCGAGGGGGGCAGGCAGAAGAUUUGCUGAUUUUAAAGAAAGAUGCUCUUUCAUCUAGAACAGGGUUUGGCAAACUUCUGUAAAGUUGUAGAUAGUAAAUAUUUUUUUAUAUUGGUUUGCGGGCCACACUCGGUCACAACUACUCAGCUCUGCCAUCAUAGCACAAAAACAGCCAUAGAUAAUGUGUAAAAGAAGCAGCAUGGCUAUGUUUCAAUAAAACUAUAGAAAUAGAUGAUGAGCUGAGUUUGGCCUACAGGCCAUAAUGUGCCAACUCUGAUCUAGACAGUAAAACUGAUCCUUGCCAGUAUGUCAGCAGAAGAAGGUCAGUUCCAGACAUGUGUUAAAGAUCUAGGACCAUUUCCUGGUGAAGGCAAUGGGAUAGCUUGUUUAAAGGGUGUUUGAAUAACCAACCAGCAAAGAGAUGUCUGAUGCCAAGAUCAAGUACUGGAAUGCUAAAAUGCACCAGAAUCUAAAAAUGGAAGAGGGCCUCUCUGAUCAUUUCCAUACCAGCAACAAUUUGGGCAGAAUUACAAACAUCUAUUUACCAAGUGACAAGACAAACUAAGGUAGAUCCUAGUAAAGAUUAGGGAUUACUUAAAACCAACUAGCCACUGCCACUUGUCAUCUACACAGCAAAGAUUUUAGUUAGUACAGGACUAAAGUGGAAAGUAGACCCAGAGAUGAAAAGGCUGCCAGGAGAUGGGGGCUGGUGUUAACCUGGAUUUCUACUGUCUUAUGCAACAUAGCUGAUUACCUUUUAGUGUAGUGCUCCUACCUCAGUCUGUAGAAUAUGGUGUUUCUAUGCAGUGAGUGAUAGCCUUGACUCUAACCUUUCAUAUUCACAUUAGAAAGAAAUGCAGUAUUCCACUUCCUGGUAUGUUACUUAUGUCUAGAGUUCUAACAGUACAGUAGUCCAUACCAUUUCCAACAGCUGAAUUUUGCUCUCUGAACAGAAACUUUUGGGUUAUUUGUGUUUUUUUUUCAGGCUUAUCCCAGAAAAUAUGGAGAGAAAAGUUUCCUUCAAUUUGCUUUUCAAAUAGUGCUUGAAUAACAAACCUCCUUCGUUGGUGAUUAGUCUUUUUUGGUAUCUCCCCACCAUUAAAAAUUGUUCAAGUUUUUAACUUUGUGUUCUACUAUGUCUCUCAUUUUCUCUCAAAAUUAGUUUUAUCUCAUUCUAGAAAAAGCAAUGGUUUCCAUAGCUUCAUCUAUAAGAGGAAAUAAAACUCUUAGUAAAAGAGUGUACUGCAUCUUUAAGCAGUAGAGGGUAAACUACCUGCAAAUGUGAAUUUCUUAGUUUCAUUUAAAAAUAUACAGUUGUUAACCUUUUGUGUGCCAAAAACUCUUACGUUACAUUUUCCUUCAAAGCAAUGUACUUUUUUCUACAUAUGCAGUAUGUAGUUAGCAUAAAAUCAUUGGUGCCAUGAAGAUUAUUUUUAAACUUAAAUAAAUACUUAAAUAUGGAAGAGUGGGCUCUUUCUUUACUAACUUACAGCUUGUCUGACUUUUUCCCCUCUUAAUGUUACCAACAUAUGGAUUAAAGGAUAGCAGUGGUAUUGACACUGCUGUUCACUACUGGGAUCAUGUAAAAUAAUAAUUUUGUUUAUAUCCAUCUAUUUAUCUUUGUCUCUUCCCUCAAAAUAAAUACUGUUAGAAACCAA